UGGGAAGAGCUGUGCGUUGUCCUCGCGGGGUGUUUAGGAUGUGAGCGCAGCUCCCGGCGAUGGGAUGGGGAUGGGAAGCACCGCAGCUCAGCCCACGCGUGCGGGACUUCUGUGUGGAGAGCAGGACUUCAACCUCACUGCUGGCCCUCAGAAGUCAGGAAAUAAUGGCGUUUUGGUGAAGCCCCAAAUCUGGAGACUCUGAGAGUCUUCAGAUGUGGUGCGGAUUUGGACCCAGUGGUGGUGGAAUGGAGGACAAAGCACCAAUGGUGUGAAUGUCUACAGUUACAGCACCCUGCUCCCUGGCUGACCUCCAUAUGAGGAUAAACUGGUUGAGAUAGAAGAAUCACCCAUGCAAAGCCCUGCAGCGUGCGAGCAAGCUCUCCACCAGCAGUGGAGAAACCCCCCGUGCUGCACUGGUUUGCAAGUCUUGCAAUGGGAAUUGCUAACUCAGCCCAUCCACACUGCAGGGAACGCUCGUGCAUCCCCAGGGAGUGCGGGGAUGGGUUGGGGUCUGGGAGUAAUUACACAGGGAAAGCAGAGCCCUGCUGGGCUGCUUCAAGCAGCGACGUGUCACGGCUGGGAGCGGAGGCAUUUUGCAUACCAACUUCAGAUGCCAUCAACAAUAACGCCGGGGGAGAAAGGCACAACGGCUGCACUUGUGUGGCCUGCUCUGCUCUUGGUUUUCUGUUGCAUCAGUAGGAAAAGGGCAAAUACAGCCAGAAGACCACCCUUCCAACCCAACCAUCCCGUGGUUCAAUGAUCUUCCAGGACCCUUCCAACCCAACCAUCCCAUGGCUCUAUGAUCUCUAAGGUCCCUCCAAAAACACCCCACCUGGUGGUUCUACGAUCUUCACGGUCCCACCACAGGCUGUGAAGAAUGGGCAAAAGGCAGAAAUUGCACCCAAAAGGGGACGUCCCGGAGGGUCGGCUUUGUGUGUCACGUCCAUAAAUCAGCGCUCUCUGUGGGCCGUCCCCGCGCGCUGCGCCAUUCGGGUUGGGUCAUAAAUAGGGCCGUGGGUCCUUUCAGGUUGAUAAAGGCAGAGGGGGCGGAGCAGUGGGGAGGCGUUGCGACCACAUAACACUUUCAUGGCGCUGUCAGAAUAAAGAAUACUGGUG
rnacentral:lncRNA from 1 species